GUGGGAAGGAAGGGAGCGGAAAGGCCGAGCGCCACCCGCCCCGGGAGUCUCCAGAGCAGCGCGCGGGGCAGACCUCCUCGGGUCCUCCGGCGCUUCGGUCUCCGGAGACGCCCGGCCUCCUGAAGGGUUCGGCUUGUCCUCCUCUGGCGCUCAGCUCCCUCUGGCGGCCGGGCUGGCAGGACCUCAGCGCCCAGCCCUUCCGUCUUGUUACGUCCAGGGUCUCACUCUGUGUCUCAGGCUGGAGUACAGUGGUGCAAUUGUAGAUGGCUGCAGCCCUCGACCUCCUGGGCUCAAGUGAUCCUCCUGCCUUAGCCUCUCGAGUAGCUGGGAGUACAGAUGCACACCACCACACCCAGCCUAGAAUGAAGAAACCUGCAGUUGGGAAGCAUGAAUUUACCACCUAUUAAGGAUUCUUACUUUGAGUAGCCAACUUGCAGAAUACAAUAGAAUUUUGGGAGGAGCCCCUCGAUGCCUGGCUUUACUGUUGGAGAGACAGUACAGUAUACACCAGAUGACUUAUUUGUGAACCAUGGAAACGUUUGGAAAAGAGUCUCACUUUGUCGCCCAGGCUGGAGUACAGUGGUGCGAUCUUGGCUCUCUGCAACCUCUGCCUCCCAGGUUCAAGUAAUUCUCCUGCCUCAGCCUCCCGAGUAGCUGGUACUACAGGCACACAUUUGUAGAGAUGGUGUUUCCCCAUGUCAUCCAGGCUGGUCUGGAACUCCUGGGAUCAAGUAAUCCACCCGCCUCGGCCUCCCAAAGUGCUGGGAUUACAGACGUGAGCCACCACGCCCUGCCAAUAAAAAGAUUAUCUCCAGAUGCUGGAAUGACCAGUAAUUUAUUUUCUUCCUUUUUUUUUGUCUGCACUUUCUACCAUAAUCAUAUGUUAGCUUCUUACUAAGAAGAAAAGUCAAUGUUAUUUCCCUGAAAAAGUAAUGUUGUUUGGUUAUUAAACAAAUUUAAUUUUCUAAACAAGAGUACGACAGGUAAACUGCCUACCUUAAAAGCAAACGAACACAAAUAAAUAAACUAACCAUCUUCC
rnacentral:lncRNA from 1 species